UAAGAUGUAAAUGGCUGCACUAAUGCCGUGUUACGCCAGGGAAGAAGAAGAACGAGGGAGGCUGAUUUAUGUGUCUCAGAAGGGUCUCAGAUAACUGGGAAAAUUGUGGAUACUAUGAUGGGAAGCUUAAGGGCUUCACAUUGCUACCAAGCUGACGAGGGGUAGUCUCUUGAAUAGAUACUUCCUUAGAGGACUGCCGUUCAUAGAAUCAUCAAAGUAUCAGUUGUCUCUAUGGGCUUUCCUGCGGGCUGCCUUUGCCAUCCACCUGAGAUCUACUUUGGCUUCUAGUUUGCUGGCUUCGAAGCUCAAGAUGUCAUCCGCUCUGGACCUGUUUUCUGGAUAUUCCUCAUAAUUUUAGAUUCAUUUUUUUAAUUAUUUUACUUAAAAUAAAUAAAUUUAAACGAUGUAUGAUUGAAUUAGCUUAUUAAUGUUUAUGAAUAUUAUCAUUUAUUGUUUAA